ACGAACGCUGGCGGCGUGCCUAAUACAUGCAAGUUGAGCGCUGAAGGUUGGUACUUGUACCAACUGGAUGAGCAGCGAACGGGUGAGUAACGCGUGGGGAAUCUGCCUUUGAGCGGGGGACAACAUUUGGAAACGAAUGCUAAUACCGCAUAAAAACUUUAAACACAAGUUUUAAGUUUGAAAGAUGCAAUUGCAUCACUCAAAGAUGAUCCCGCGUUGUAUUAGCUAGUUGGUGAGGUAAAGGCUCACCAAGGCGAUGAUACAUAGCCGACCUGAGAGGGUGAUCGGCCACAUUGGGACUGAGACACGGCCCAAACUCCUACGGGAGGCAGCAGUAGGGAAUCUUCGGCAAUGGACGAAAGUCUGACCGAGCAACGCCGCGUGAGUGAAGAAGGUUUUCGGAUCGUAAAACUCUGCUGGUAGAGAAGAACGUUGGUGAGAGUGGAAAGCUCAUCAAGUGACGGUAACUACCCAGAAGGGGACGGCUAACUACGUG
rnacentral:rRNA from 1 species